CGGGUGAGUAACACGUGGGUAACCUGCCUGUAAGACUGGGAUAACUCCGGGAAACCGGGGCUAAUACCGGAUUCUUGACUGAACCGCAUGGUUCAAUUAUAAAAGGUGGCUUUUAGCUACCACUUACAGAUGGACCCGCGGCGCAUUAGCUAGUUGGUGAGGUAACGGCUCACCAAGGCGACGAUGCGUAGCCGACCUGAGAGGGUGAUCGGCCACACUGGGACUGAGACACGGCCCAGACUCCUACGGGAGGCAGCAGUAGGGAAUCUUCCGCAAUGGACGAAAGUCUGACGGAGCAACGCCGCGUGAGUGAUGAAGGUUUUCGGAUCGUAAAACUCUGUUGUUAGGGAAGAACAAGUACCGUUCGAAUAGGGCGGUACCUUGACGGUACCUAACCAGAAAAGCCACGGCUAACUACGUGCCAGCCAGCCGCGGUAAUACGUAGGUGGCAAGCGUUGUCCGGAAAUUAUUGGGCGUAAAGCGCGCGCAGGCGGUUUCUUAAGUCUGAUGUGAAAGCCCCCGGCUCAACCGGGGAGGGUCAUUGGAAACUGGGGAACUUGAGUGCAGAAGAGGAGAGUGGAAUUCCACGUGUAGCGGUGAAAUGCGUAGAGAUGUGGAGGAACACCAGUGGCGAAGGCGACUCUCUGGUCUGUAACUGACGCUGAGGCGCGAAAGCGUGGGGAGCGAACAGGAUUAGAUA
rnacentral:rRNA from 1 species